CAAAUUUACGUUGUGAGCUACUUGCAGCAAAAUAUAGUGCGGCAUCGAAACUUGAAGCCGUUAACAUUUUAAUUUUUAAUUCUUGUGUGCCAAACUGCCAAAUUUUAGUUCUUGUUAUCGGUCUUCUUCAUCUCAUGUCAGAUGCGUCCACACUUCUAUCACAUCCGACAAAAAACUUGCACGUUUUAAGUGAGAAUGAAGAAGGUUUUAAGGCAUUCUGUUCUACCAGCGAUUACGGAGAAUUGUGACUAGACAAGGAACAUUGCUAGUUUUUGUUGAAGAAUUUUGGAAGAACGAAGAAGGUUACCUAUUCUCUUUGUUUAGUAAUGUGAUUUUAAGUUAGUGGAAUUUAGCUAUUGCUUGAAAGAGUUACUUGAGUGUAUUGUUAUUGAGGUUAGUGGAAGCACUUAGAGCAUCUCAAAUGAGAGUAUGUAAUGUCAAAUACAUACUCUCACCAAUAUCUAUUACUAUUGGAGCAUAUUUUUAAU